UACAGAGGGGGCAAGCGUUGUUCGGGAUUACUGGGCGUAAAGGGCGCGUAGGCGGCCUGUUAAGUCGAACGUGAAAUCCCCGGGCUCAACCCGGGAACUGCGUCCGAUACUGGCAGGCUUGAAUUCGGGAGAGGGAUGUGGAAUUCCAGGUGUAGCGGUGAAAUGCGUAGAUAUGUGGAGGAAUACCGAUGGCGAAGGCAGCCCCCUGGGAUAACACUGACGCUCAUGCACGAAAGCGUGGGGAGCGAACAGG
rnacentral:rRNA from 1 species